CCAUCCCGGAACAGGGACCGCUCCGAUUCUGCCAUCACCUCGCCACAGAAAAGUUCUUUACUCCUUUUGCCUUCAGAUUUCUCCCAGGGACUAGAACUUGGCCUCUGGAUUACAGGGAGGGUGGAAGUCAUGUCCUUCCCUACACAGAGAGAAAGCGGACCCACGGAGUGGGGUCUGGAGGAAGUCCCUCCCCUUAAUUGAUUUUCUGUAGUGCGGAAUCCGCAGUGCAGAUUUGAAUUUUGCUUUUCAGUAGCCUGCGUUUGCCAGGAGGGUGCAGCCAGGACGAAGAAGCUCGAGUUGGAGACGAGACUGACGGUUGGGGUCACAGCAAGGUCCUUAUGUAAACUCCCCUUCCUCCUGCCCUUCUCCUUCCAAGCCAUUCAGUUCCUGGGGACCUAGUAGACUGCCUUCCCUUUCCUCUAUGUGGAGAACCUUCUUUUUCCAACCAGACAGUUGCCUGAUGAAAUGCUGGAGCUCAGUUCAUUCUGCCUCACCCCUGGCUAAGAGAAAGCAGCAGGCACCAGCGGGGCAGUCGCGUUUCAGGUGAUGCGUACCUGAGGAAGUCUCUACCCUCUCCCGACCCUGAGAUAAGCUGUGUGGAAGGUACAGGCCAAAGUGGCUUAUCUGAGAUUCGGGGUCAAGAGACAGAAAGCUGUGGUGCCUCUGAUGAAGGUGCUUCUCUUUCCCAGCCAUUGUCACCAGUAAGGAAACUGAGGUCUGAAGUGAGGGAGAGCCUGGCUUCUCUCUGUCCCAGCAAAACACUGUAAUUUCCGUCCAGAUGUCACUGCUCACCUCUGACUGGGCUGGGGUGGCAGACAGAGGCUCAGACGCUAAGAGGACAGAGAAGGCUGGGGACCAAGCGCCCCCAUCUUCCUAGCUGAGCUAGAAGAAAAGUUAAGUCUAGGGGGGCGACUCCUCACACCUCAGGUGAAGGACCCUGCUAGGACACAUCAGCAGCCGUAUGCUCAGGGGCUUCUAACCCAACACUCUUUCUGACCAGACUCUGCAAGAUCUCCAGAUAAAAGCAAAAGGGUUGCCGUGGGCGUGGAGAGCUCUCCACGGAGGACCAGAAGCAAAGAAUGCUCAAUACACCUCCUUCGUCUGUCCCCAUAGUACACCAGAGAUGGCCAAAAUGCUCCUGGCUGAGAUGACAGCAAUGUGAGUCUUCUGCUGCUCACCCUCUGCUGAACACUGGGCCUGGCACCACCCCUGCUCCUCUUUCUAUCCUUGCUGGGGAUGAGGCCAGAAGCCAAAGCUAAGUACCUGCAGGUCUACCUGGCCUGCACUUUCCAUGCCCAUGCUGGGGCCGACUUCAGAUUGCUCAGGGAUUGAUUGGUGUUACUGUGGGGACCUGGGGCACUGGCUGGCUGCCCACUAGAGAUACAUGGUUCUGCCUGAGUAGCUGCACCUUCACACCAAUGCUGUUGUCCACAAACUGAGGACCUGAGGUGUUACCGCAGUACAGCCUGGUCUCUGAUAAGCCACACUGAUGGCACCCUAGGCCAUACAGCACCAGAGUGCCAGAGAGGGGCACCUGCACGAUGCCAUCCAGGCUGGACUCCUGACCAGGCACUGUUCCCAGGGGCUUAUGACCUUCCUUCCCAGAGCUUCUGUCCAGCUUGAGUAUUGGCCACAGUGGCUGAACUGACAGCCAGAGGGAGC
rnacentral:lncRNA from 1 species